CAGCCGCCGCGGUAAUACAGAGGGUGCAAGCGUUAAUCGGAUUUACUGGGCGUAAAGCGUGCGUAGGUGGCUGUUUAAGUCGGAUGUGAAGGCCCUGGGCUUAACCUGGGAACUGCAUUCGAUACUGGAUAGCUAGAGAUCGGUAGAGGGCAGCGGAAUUCCGGGUGUAGCGGUGAAAUGCGUAGAUAUCCGGAGGAACACCGAUGGCGAAGGCAACUGCCUGGGCCUGAUCUGACACUGAGGCACGAAAGCGUGGGUAGCAAACAGGAUUAGAGACCCCUGUAGUCCCUGUCUCUUAUAC
rnacentral:rRNA from 1 species